rnacentral:rRNA from 1 species
ACUCCUACGGGAGGCAGCAGUGGGGAAUAUUGGACAAUGGGGGGAACCCUGAUCCAGCGACGCCGCGUGAGUGAAGAAGUAUUUCGGUAUGUAAAGCUCUAUCAGCAGGGAAGAAGAAAAGGACGGUACCUGACUAAGAGGCCCCGGCUAACUACGUGCCAGCAGCCGCGGUAAU